CCUACGUGUGGCUGCAGUGGGGAAUCUUCCGCAAUGGGCGCAAGCCUGACGGAGCAACGCCGCGUGAGUGAAGAAGGUCUUCGGAUCGUAAAGCUCUGUUGACAGGGACGAACGUACGGAGUGCAAAUAGUGCUCUGUAAUGACGGUACCUGUCGAGGAAGCCACGGCUAACUACGUGCCAGCAGCCGCGGUAAUACGUAGGGGGCGAGCGUUGUCCGGAAUCAUUGGGCGUAAAGGUAGCGCAGGCGGGCAUGUAAGUCUUUCUUAAAAGGGCGGGGCUCAACCCCGUGAUGGGAAAGAAACUAUAUGUCUUGAGUACAGGAGAGGAAAGCGGAAUUCCCAGUGUAGCGGUGAAAUGCGUAGAUAUUGGGAGGAACACCAGUGGCGAAGGCGGCUUUCUGGACUGCAACUGACGCUGAGGCUCGAAAGCCAGGGGAGCGAACGGGAUUAGAUACCCCAGUAGUC
rnacentral:rRNA from 1 species